rnacentral:rRNA from 1 species
UUCGCAAUGCCCGAAAGGGUGACGAAGCGACGCCGCGUGGGUGAGGAAGGCCUUCGGGUUGUAAAGCCCUGUCAGGAGUUAAGAAAUGUAGGUGCGCUAAUAUCGUGCCUAUUUGACAAAGGCUCCAAAGGAAGCCACGGCUAACUCUGUGCCAGCAGCCGCGGUAAUACAGAGGUGGCAGGCGUUGUUCGGAAUUAUUGGGCGUAAAGAGCACGUAGGUGGUUUUGUAAGUCAGAUGUGAAAGCCUUCUGUUCAACGGGAGAAUUGCAUCUGAAACUACAAACCUUGAGUAUAGGAGGGGAGAAUGGAACUCCUGGUGGAGCGGUGAAAUGCGUAGAUAUCAGAAGGAACGCCGGCGGCGAAAGCGAUUCUCUGGCCUAUUACUGACACUCAGUGUGCGAAAGCUAGGGGAGCAAACGGGAUUAGAUACCCCGGUGGUCCUAGCCGUAAACGAUGGGCACUAAGUAGAGGGGUUUUA